CCCUUUCAUAUUGCAACAGAAACAGAAACACAGACACUAACGAAUAGACGUAGACAAGAGGAGACGGUGUGGCCUGACAUAUGCCUCUAGACUGCAUUGUGAUAAGUGAAGUAAUAGUGAUGAUAUCUAAUGAUUCAUGCCCACUUUAUUUUAACAAAGAUGUCAAUUUGUGACCAAGGAAAAUCAUCCUUGGGACUGGCUUUGUUGAGGUCAUAAAAGCCAACGCACACGACUCUACCGUCGUUUUACAGGACAAGAAAUAUGGAAUGUCCGGGGAAGUGGAUAGAGAUCAAACUUUUGGCUCCUGGUUUGUUUUUAUGUUUCUUUGUGGACUUCGAUUUUGAAGCCUCUUUAAUACAAAGACAUUAUUUUGCAUAGUUGGAAGCUUUUUUUUUGUAAAGGGAGCUCCCUACUUGUGAGUUUUUUUUGUAUGCUAGUGUAUUCUUUCAUUUCUAUGUCUAAUUUGGGAAUCAAACUAGUAUCAGGAAUUCAUGAGCAUAACCUAUUCCCACAUAUAUAUGUGUAUAUAUAUAUAUAUGUUAUAUUUUCUUAAGAAAUAUCCAACAUAGAUCUUAAGAUAAGUCUCACAAAUUUUGUACUUUCUUAAGAAUUAAUGCCAAC
rnacentral:lncRNA from 1 species